rnacentral:rRNA from 1 species
GAUGAACGCUGGCGGCGUGCUUAACACAUGCAAGUCGAACGGAAAGGCUCCUGCUUGCAGGGGUACUCGAGUGGCGAACGGGUGAGUAACACGUGGGUGAUCUGCCCUGCACUUCGGGAUAAGCCUGGGAAACUGGGUCUAAUACCGGAUAGGACCACAUUUUGGAUGGUGUGGUGGAAAGUUUUUCGGUGUGGGAUGAGCUCGCGGCCUAUCAGCUUGUUGGUGGGGUAAUGGCCUACCAAGGCGUCGACGGGUAGGCGGCCUGAGAGGGUGUACGGCCACAUUGGGACUGAGAUACGGCCCAGACUCCUACGGGAGGCAGCAGUGGGGAAUAUUGCACAAUGGGCGCAAGCCUGAUGCAGCGACGCCGCGUGGGGGAUGACGGCCUUCGGGUUGUAAACUCCUUUCGCUAGGGACGAAGCGCAAGUGACGGUACCUGGAGAAGAAGCACCGGCUAACUACGUG